rnacentral:rRNA from 1 species
AGGAAUAUUGGUCAAUGGACGGAAGUCUGAACCAGCCAUGCCGCGUGAAGGAUGAAGGCGUUCUGCGUUGUAAACUUCUUUUAUCUGGGAAGAAACCACAGAUUUCUAUUUGUGUUGACGGUACCAGAGGAAUAAGCACCGGCUAACUCCGUGCCAGCAGCCGCGGUAAUACGGAGGGUGCGAGCGUUAUCCGGAUUUACUGGGUUUAAAGGGUGCGUAGGCGGGCUAUUAAGUCAGAGGUGAAAUCUCCGGGCUCAACCUGGAAACUGCCUUUGAUACUAUUAGCCUUGAAUUAUGUUGAGGUUGGCGGAAUAUAACAUGUAGCGGUGAAAUGCUUAGAUAUGUUAUGGAACACCGAUUGCGAAGGCAGCUGGCUAAACAUAUAUUGACGCUGAUGCACGAAAGCGUGGGUAGCGAACA